GUCCUGGGCUUAGUUUCAGAAGGUCUCAGAUCACUGGCAGUCUUUCUACAAGAGUACUCCCAGGUAUAUUUCUAAGCAAUGUCCUUUCUCUUGUUGGGGGACGUUGGAGAACUUUUCUUCUUGGUGCCAUAUCAGCUUAAGGCUGGACUCAAAUACUGAAAUGCUCUGUCACUCAUCUUUGGCUCUCUAUCAGUUGUGCUGAGGCUCCACAGGAGGACCAGAUUUCUGUCACAAACCAGCAAUGGAAAACCAGGAUCUCAUCUACAGCUCAUACUUUUCAGCUUGUAUCAGACAACAGUGUUCCUUCACCAAGAUCUUAGGCAGAAUUUUCAGAUGGAAUUGUUCCAUGUGAGCUGUAGAUUCAGUAUGUCUGUGGGAGGAGAUGAGUUCAGGAGCCUCCUGUGUCACCAUCUUGAACCCAGCUCCUAUUCAUAUCCUUUUUAGCUAUGUCUAAACACCUGUUAAAUAAAUUUUAGUGACUUUUUAAACUUAGUUAUUGCAUUUUUAAAGUUAGGAAUUUUUAUUUGAUUGGUUUUUGAUUGUUUAUAAUAGUGUUUAUGUUUUCUGUUGAAAUUCUCC
rnacentral:lncRNA from 1 species